rnacentral:lncRNA from 1 species
GGCCCAAUAGAUUCAGUGGAAAAUGUUAGUGAAAAUUUACAUAUUUUAUGAAAAUUGUCAAGAAUUGACGAAAAAGGGCAAUAACUCCUUAGGGGAUCGAUUGACUAUUUUGGUCAUGUUGACUUAUUUGUAGAUCUUACUUUGCUGAACAUUUUUGCUGUUUACAGUUUAUCUCUAUCUAUAACAAUAUUCAAGAUAAUAACCCAAAACAGCAAAAUUUCCUUAAAAUUACCAAUUCAGGGGCAGCAACCUAACAACGGGUAGUCUGGUUCAUCUG